ACAGUUCUAUUAAGCCAUUGUAGGAUCAAGGAAGCGCAGGGAUCUUAUCCCGCAUCGAUCAACAAUUCUUUCAAGGCUUCAAAGUUAAUUAUUAACCAGCCCGUGAUGGAGAUUCAAGAAUUCAAUGAACGGCUUGCAGAGUUGGGCAUUGAGGCCCGGUCAGGUUUUAAAUCCCAUGGUGAAGGGAGUACACAACUUUCAGGUUCUAUCCAAUUAUCAUCAAAAGAAUCAUUCUUUGGCAAGGCUGAGGCAAAGACUAUUGCUGACAUUAACACCAUCUCUGAAGUAAUGAU